AUUGAACGCUGGCGGCAUGCUUUGCACAUGCAAGUCGAACGGUAACAGGCCGCAAGGUGCUGACGAGUGGCGAACGGGUGAGUAAUGCAUCGGAACGUGCCCAGUCGUGGGGGAUAACGCAGCGAAAGCUGCGCUAAUACCGCAUACGAUCUAUGGAUGAAAGCGGGGGACCGUAAGGCCUCGCGCGAUUGGAGCGGCCGAUGUCAGAUUAGGUAGUUGGUGGGGUAAAGGCUCACCAAGCCAACGAUCUGUAGCUGGUCUGAGAGGACGACCAGCCACACUGGGACUGAGACACGGCCCAGACUCCUACGGGAGGCAGCAGUGGGGAAUUUUGGACAAUGGGCGCAAGCCUGAUCCAGCAAUGCCGCGUGCAGGAAGAAGGCCUUCGGGUUGUAAACUGCUUUUGUCAGGGAAGAAACGCUCUGGGUUAAUACCUCGGGGUAAUGACGGUACCUGAAGAAUAAGCACCGGCUAACUACGUGCCAGCCGCCGCCGUAAUAC
rnacentral:rRNA from 1 species